rnacentral:rRNA from 1 species
AGAGUUUGAUCCUGGCUCAGAUUGAACGCUGGCGGCAGGCCUAACACAUGCAAGUCGAGCGGAAACGAGUUAUCUGAACCUUCGGGGGACGAUAACGGCGUCGAGCGGCGGACGGGUGAGUAAUGCCUAGGAAAUUGCCCUGAUGUGGGGGAUAACCAUUGGAAACGAUGGCUAAUACCGCAUAAUGCCUACGGGCCAAAGAGGGGGACCUUCGGGCCUCUCGCGUCAGGAUAUGCCUAGGUGGGAUUAGCUAGUUGGUGAGGUAAUGGCUCACCAAGGCGACGAUCCCUAGCUGGUCUGAGAGGAUGAUCAGCCACACUGGAACUGAGACACGGUCCAGACUCCUACGGGAGGCAGCAGUGGGGAAUAUUGCACAAUGGGCGCAAGCCUGAUGCAGCCAUGCCGCGUGUGUGAAGAAGGCCUUCGGGUUGUAAAGCACUUUCAGUCGUGAGGAAGGUAGUGUAGUUAAUAGCUGCAUUAUUUGACGUUAGCGACAGAAGAAGCACCGGCUAACUCCGUGCCAGCAGCCGCGGUAAUAC